AGCGAACGCUGGCGGUAGGCCUAACACAUGCAAGUCGAACGAGACCUUGAGUCGAGUGGCGAACGGGUGCGUAAUACAUGGGAACCUGCCUUAUACUCUGGGAUAACUACUGGAAACAGUGGCUAAUACCGGAUACUCCAUAUUGGGAAAGCUUUUGCGGUAUAAGAGGGGCCCAUGGCCGAUUAGCUAGUUGGUGAGGUAACGGCUCACCAAGGCAACGAUCGGUAGCUGGUCUGAGAGGAUGAUCAGCCACACUGGGACUGAGACACGGCCCAGACUCCUACGGGAGGCAGCAGUGGGGAAUCUUGCGCAAUGGGGGCAACCCUGACGCAGCCAUACCGCGUGCGUGAUGAAGGUUUUCGGACUGUAAAGCGCUUUCAGCAGGGAAGAUAAUGACGGUACCUGCAGAAGAAGUCCCGGCUAACUCCG
rnacentral:rRNA from 1 species